rnacentral:rRNA from 1 species
GAUAAGAGGUCCAGCCUGCCCAGUGACAUUGUUCAACGGCCGCGGUAUCCUAACCGUGCGAAGGUAGCGUAAUCACUUGUUCUUUAAAUGAGGACUAGUAUGAAUGGCACCACGAAGAUUUUACUGUCUCCUUUUCCUAAUCAGUGAAACUAAUCUUCCCGUGAAGAAGCGGGAAUAAACAUAUAAGACGAGAAGACCCUAUGGAGCUUUAAACUAUACUACAUUUGCCCAUAAACAAUUUAAUUUCAGAAAAAUUUAUUUAUCAUGGCACUAUGAUUUUAAGUUUUAGGUUGGGGUGACCGCGGAGAAAAACACAUCCUCCGCAUUGAACAAGAUUAUUUCUUUAGCCAAAAGCUACAUCUUUAAGCAUCAAUAAAUUGACAUUAUUGACCCAAUAUUUUGAUCAACGAACCAAGUUACCCUAGGGAUAACAGCGCAAUCCACUUCAAGAGCUCCUAUCGACAAGUGGGUUUACGACCUCGAUGUUGGAUCAGGGUAUCCCAGUGGUGCAGCCGCUACUAAAGGUUCGUUUGUUCAA